GAAGGUAUAGCCCAGUGGUAGAGUGCAUGCUUAGCAUGCACGAGAUCCUGGUUUCAAUCCCUAGUACCUCCA
rnacentral:tRNA from 1 species